rnacentral:rRNA from 1 species
CAUAGGUUAAUGAGGCGAACCGGGGGAACUGAAACAUCUAAGUACCCCGAGGAAAAGAAAUCAACCGAGAUUCCCCCAGUAGCGGCGAGCGAACGGGGAGGAGCCCAGAGCCUGAAUCAGCAUGUGUGUUAGUGGAAGCGUCUGGAAAGGCGCGCGAUACAGGGUGACAGCCCCGUACACAAAAGCGCAUGUGCUGUGAGCUCGAUGAGUAGGGCGGGACACGUGGUAUCCUGUCUGAAUAUGGGGGGACCAUCCUCCAAGGCUAAAUACUCCUGACUGACCGAUAGUGAACCAGUACCGUGAGGGAAAGGCGAAAAGAACCCCGGCGAGGGGAGUGAAAAAGAACCUGAAACCGUGUACGUACAAGCAGUGGGAGCACAGGUUUACCUGUGUGACUGCGUACCUUUUGUAUAAUGGGUCAGCGACUUAUAUUCUGUAGCAAGGUUAACCG